rnacentral:rRNA from 1 species
GUCAUGAAUACAUAGUGGCAUGAGGCGAACCGGGGGAACUGAAACAUCUAAGUACCCCGAGGAAAAGAAAUCAACCGAGAUUCCCCCAGUAGCGGCGAGCGAACGGGGAGGAGCCCAGAACCUGAAUCGGCUUGUGUGUUAGUGGAAGCGUCUGGAAAGUCGCGCAGUAAAGGGUGAUAGCCCCGUACACUAAAAUGCACAGGUCGUGAGUUCGAUGAGUAGGGCGGGACACGUGACAUCCUGUCUGAAUAUGGGGGGACCAUCCUCCAAGGCUAAAUACUCCUGACUGACCGAUAGUGAACCAGUACCGUGAGGGAAAGGCGAAAAGAACCCCGGCGAGGGGAGUGAAAUAGAACCUGAAACCGUGUACGUACAAGCAGUGGGAGCACCUUCGUGGUGUGACUGCGUACCUUUUGUAUAAUGGGUCAGCGACUUAUAUUUUGUAGCAAGGUUAACCGUAUAGGGUAGCCGUAGGGAAACCGAGUCUUAACUGGGCGUUGAGUUGCAAGGUAUAGACCCGAAACCCGGUGAUCUAGCCAUGGGCAGGUUGAAGGUUGGGUAACAGUAACUGGAGGAGCGAACAGACUAAUGUGGAAAAAUUAGAGGAUGACUUGUGGCUGGGGGUGAAAGGCGAAUAAAAGCGGGAGAUAGAGGGGUCUCCCCGAAAUCUAUUUAGGUAGAGCCUUGAGCGGACACCGUCGGGGGUAGAGCACUGCUUCGGAUAGGGGUCCAUCCCGGAUUAACAACACGAUGCAAACUGCGAAUACCGAAGAGUGAUACUAAGGAGACACACGGCGGGUGCUAACGUCCGUCGUGAAGAGGGAAACAACCCAGACCGCCAGCUAAGGUCCCAAAGUCAUGGUUAAGUGGGAAACGAUGUGGGAAGGCAUAGACAGCCAGGAUGUUGGCU